AACUUUAAUGACCCAAGCCAGAGCAAUCAGCACCAGAUCGAGUCGAGUGGCUCUCAGCCAAUUAAAUUACGCUGUUUGAUCACAUGACACCGUUAGCCAGCAGUGUGUCUCCUAAAAGAGAGCUGUUUAAAGGAAAACGUUUGACUAACUCAAAGACAAUUUCCACGCCUCCCCUGCCUGACUGCAGAGGCAGUUUUGAAUUUAGGAGCGCCAAGAUGGCAGCGGCAAACCCUGGCGGCUCUCCGGUGGAAAAGACCCGUCACCUUCUGGGAGAGGCGGCUCCCGUGGGAACAGCUCCCACCACCAAGUCCCUGAGUGAGUCUCUGUCCCCCAGCGUGAGCUCCGGCACUCUGUCCACGUCCACCUCCGCCUCCUCGCAGAUCUCCAGCACCACCUUUGAAAGCGUGAGAAGGAGCUGGCCACCAAGUGCCUGCGCCUUCUGACACACACCUUCAAUACUGAAUACAACCAGCUGGUGAACAGCAUCAGUGACUGCAAGCUUUCUCUCAUCUCACCGAUCGGACGUGAUCCAUCCGUGACGAGCUUCAGCAGUGCCACCCUCACCCCUUCCUCUACCUGCCCCUCUCUCGGACUCCCGCUGUGGCUCCAUGGGCCAGAAGACCCCUGAGAACAGCUCACGUGCCUCCAGUCCCUCCUGCUCAGACUGUGAAAACUUCCCGAUGGUUCCCACUCUGGAGACCUCCUACCUUGCGCGGGCUGCAAAAGAACGAGUUCCUGAACUUGGUGCCUGAUAUUGAAGAAAUGCGACCAGGUUCAAGCAGAAAUGAUGUGGAUCGAUUCAAAUUCCUGAGCCUGGAUGAUUUCAGCUGGAAACAAACCAACUCUGCUUCUUCCUCAGGUCCACAGCGGGGACAGGUCUCUCCAUCACCAGGAUCAGCUCUCUGCCAAAGUCAAACCACUCCAACAGAGACACUGGGGCUGAU